CUCGUAGGUGGUUUGUCGCGUUGUUCGUGAAAACCGGGGGCUUAACCCUCGGCGUGCGGGCGAUACGGGCAGACUAGAGUACUGCAGGGGAGACUGGAAUUCCUGGUGUAGCGGUGGAAUGCGCAGAUAUCAGGAGGAACACCGGUGGCGAAGGCGGGUCUCUGGGCAGUAACUGACGCUGAAGAGCGAAAGCGUGGGGAGCGAACA
rnacentral:rRNA from 1 species